CCCUGGUGCAAAGCAUCCAAACAUCUGGUACAUUGAGAAAUUGGGACGCCGAGUGUCGAAUCUUUACUCUGGCACUUAACUGGGUCAAUCCAGAGCACUUGCAGAAUCCUAAUUUAUAUAUCAAAAGCAAUCGCUUCUUGCGGAAUUCAACGUGAGCAGGCAAUUCUGGUCGCGCGACAACAAGCCAGCUGCCACUACAAACAGCGCGGGCGAAUCCAGAGCCGCCGCCGCACACGCAGACGUUUGACAGACGCGAUUUUAACACCGUUUCAUCCUCCAAUCCGCGCAUCCGCCAUCAGAUCACAUAUCUCCGUGACAUAUUUUGCUGUUUUUCUCCUAUGGAACUGGGGCACUUUCUUUUAUAAGCAGACUUGCAGAUUGGAUGUAAACCCAACAAGACCUCGCCGGGCGAAUGCAGCGGGACGCGAAAUAUCAAGUGUCAUUCUAAUGUGACCCCUACGCCCAGUCGCUCAUUCACAGCCCUCCAUGAUGCCGUUUGUCGCCUUCUGUUGUCACCUGCUGCCAGUGGCCAACUGAUCGCAAUCAGCCACCUGCGUGUUGGGCUGAGCAGCCUGAUGCCAUCAUCUGCAGGAUGCUGGAAGAAGAGAAAAGGUGCGACUCUUCCACUUCUGAUGAGCGUAUAGGAAGUGAGUGAUCGCUGAUGGAUUACAUCACUCGUGCGCGGGGCGCCGGCGCAGAUCAAAGCCGGGCGGCUGCUGGUGGGUUUCAAAGAGCAGCCGUCAUCUCGUUACGUCUGCGGCUUUCAUGUGAGCCGUUGAUGAAACAGUCCGUCUUGCCCCCGUCUUCCCAAUAUUCGCGAGGUACAUUAAUUAAUUUAGCCCCUGAACUACAUUUUAGGGAUUCAGAGGAUGUUCUCGCUGUCACGAGGCAUAAUGCUACAGCGAGGGCCCAUCGCUGGCUACAGUGGUUUUAGCCACCGACUCAAAAAAAAACGAAGACCUCCCACAAUGAUCCUAUGAAUUUGAAAUAUUCAUUUGUGAAAAUUAAUCGUAAUGUAGCUGUAAAAACUGAUACUGUAAUGACUGGAACAUUAAAGAAACCUCAAUAAAAUACAUAAAUAUAUUCACAA